UCGGGAAGACUUCUAUAUAAGUUUUUUCCGAGAAGACUUUUAUAAAACGUAAAAUUUCUGACAAACUUCGAUGAAUUGCAAAACUAACUUGUUUAUCUGAGAAGU